UCAUCGGGGGCUCUUGAUCACGGUUGAAGUUGGUAGCUCCGACACCCGAAGCAGCAGCAGCAGCACCUGAGAGGAGGAAGGACUGAGUGGAGGAUGAGGCAAUUGAGUUGUUGUAGGAUGAAGACAUCUUUCUUCUCAGCUGUUUCUGGAUUUGCUAAAGCUGAUACAAAGAUCCAUAGAGAAAAAUAUAAUUAAAAAGUAAAAAAGAGAGAGAGAAGAUAAGAAAUCAAAAAAAAUAUAUAUGUAUGAUUCAGAAGAAAACGAAAGCAAGGAAUUAGAAGAACAGGAAGAAGCCAUAGAGAUUGACGACAUGGGAAGAAAAGAGAAAAAAAAAAAAAAAAUUCACUAGAAGACAUUUGCGAGAACAAAAACAAAGAGAACAAAUAUAAAUCCAAAGAGUUAGAUAUAAUUUGUAAGUUUUAGAAAGAAGACAUGGUAUAAGUUGUUUUUUUUUAUUGUACACCUUUUUGAGUUUCAGAGAAAGAAACCAAGAAGAAAAAGGUCAAUAUAAAGCUAAAAACUCAGAGACAAGCAAGAAACCAAAGAGAGCAGCUGAUGAUAGAGGAAGAAGAACAAGAAGCCACACUUAAAAAAUUAUAUAUUAUAAAUACACACACACCUCAAAAAGAAAAAACCCUAUCUCUCUCUAUCUCCUCUCUCUCUCUCUCUCUCUCUCUUGCCUUUGCUUUGUUCUUCUCUUUUAAUAAUUGGGGGUUUGAGGCCUUGUGUGAUGUCAAAUAUAUAUAGCUACAGUCCCUAUCUCUUUUUCUCCCAAUAAAGAAAAAAAAAUCUAACUUUUUAAAAAGGUGGUUUUUAUUAACCAAAUCAUGGUGUGUGGUUUAAUGGUUGAAAGAUUUACCUUUGUAUUAUCAGAAAACCAUGCAUUUUUUUUUGUAUCUUUUCACCACAAUUUUAAUCAUUUCUGACAACUUAAAAUAUAUAUAUUUUAAAAAUAAUAUAAGUUUCAGAUAUUAAUUAAUAUUUCUGUUUUAGUCUAAUAUUUUUAUAUUUCAUAUAUAUAUAUAUAUAUAAAAUUAGUAUUAUUAUUUAUGCUUUUUUAAAACCCAACUUGUAAAAUUUUUAAAACAUGAUUGAGUUUUGAAUUAUUAAAAUCAUUUUUGUCUUGAAUUAUGAAAUAGUGUUACAUUUUGAUAAAUAUAUAAUUUUAAAAGUGUGGAAAAGGUUACGGUUUGGGUGGCAUUGUAAAAACGGUGAAAUGUGGGCACAUGCGGGUGUGGUCACACCUCAGAGUCUUUCUCGUGUCUCUCUGAUGGCUUCAUGACAAAACCUCUCUCUCUCUCUCUCUCUCUCUCUCUCUCUCUCUC
rnacentral:lncRNA from 1 species